UACAGAGGGGGCAAGCGUUAUUCGGAAUUAUUGGGCGUAAAGGGCGCGUAGGCGGCCAUUCAAGUGACGGGUGAAAGCCCUCGGCUUAACCUGGGAACUGCGUCUGAUACUGGAAGGCUUGAGUGCGGGAGAGGGAUGUGGAAUUCCAGGUGUAGCGGUGAAAUGCGUAGAUAUCGGGAGGAACACCUGUGGCGAAAGCGGCUUACUAGACGACAACUGACGCUGAGGCGCGAAAGCUAGGGGAGCAAACAGG
rnacentral:rRNA from 1 species